rnacentral:rRNA from 1 species
UACAUGGGGUGCAAACGUUGCUCGGAAUUAUUGGGCGUAAAGCGCGCGUAGGCGGUUACUUAAGUCGGAUGUGAAGCCCUCGGCUUAACUGAGGAAGUGCACCCGAAACUGAGUAGCUGGAGUACGAAAGAGGGUCGCGGGAAUUCCCGGUGUAGAGGUGAAAUUCGUAGAUAUCGGGAGGAACACCGGUGGCGAAGGCGGCGACCUGGGUAGAUACUG